CCUUUCAGUGAGUGGCGAACGGGUGAGUAACACGUGGACAACCUGCCUCAAGGCUGGGGAUAACAUUUGGAAACAGAUGCUAAUACCGAAUAAAACUCAGUGUCGCAUGACACAAAGUUAAAAGGCGCUUUGGCGUCACCUAGAGAUGGAUCCGCGGUGCAUUAGUUAGUUGGUGGGGUAAAGGCCUACCAAGACAAUGAUGCAUAGCCGAGUUGAGAGACUGAUCGGCCACAUUGGGACUGAGACACGGCCCAAACUCCUACGGGAGGCUGCAGUAGGGAAUCUUCCACAAUGGGCGAAAGCCUGAUGGAGCAACGCCGCGUGUGUGAUGAAGGCUUUCGGGUCGUAAAGCACUGUUGUAUGGGAAGAACAGCUAGAAUAGGGAAUGAUUUUAGUUUGACGGUACCAUACCAGAAAGGGACGGCUAAAUACGUGCCAGCAGCCGCGGUAAUACGUAUGUCCCGAGCGUUAUCCGGAUUUAUUGGGCGUAAAGCGAGCGCAGACGGUUGAUUAAGUCUGAUGUGAAAGCCCGGAGCUCAACUCCGGAAUGGCAUUGGAAACUGGUUAACUUGAGUGCAGUAGAGGUAAGUGGAACUCCAUGUGUAGCGGUGGAAUGCGUAGAUAUAUGGAAGAACACCAGUGGCGAAGGCGGCUUACUGGACUGUAACUGACGUUGAGGCUCGAAAGUGUGGGUAGCAAACAGGAUUAGAUACCCUGGUAGUCCACACCGUAAACGAUGAACACUAGUGUUAGGAGGUUUCCGCCUCUUAGUGCCGAAGCUAACGCAUUAAGUGUUCCGCCUGGGGAGUACGACCGCAAGAUGAAACUCAAGAUGACGGGACCCGCACAG
rnacentral:rRNA from 1 species